CGGGGGUGAAUGAUUUCCGGCAGCACCGGCUCGAGUCGGUACAUUAUUUGCAGUCAGAUUUUAUUAUAUUAUUGAGAUCCGUGUCGCUGCCCGACGGUCUGGUUCGGCCUUUAUUUUUUUUUUGCCUCGCGUGUCUCCGGCAGAUUCCCAGUGCUCCGUGGCCCCACAUGUCAGUUUUUUCCCUUCAUCAGAUUUCCUUUUGUGCUCCUCGCUCCCCUGUCUUUCCUCCAUCUCCAAAUCCAUGCCCAUUUCGAGUCAAAAAAAAAAUACAUGCCCAUUUUCCUUCUCCACUCUCUCGCCGAUCUAGUUCUUCCACCAGCAAAUGCGUCCCUCUUCCCUCUCUUGGCGCCAAGGCCAUGUCACGCCCGCUCUGGCGCCCUCAACAUGUUCGACGGAUUGCCUCGCCGCCUCACCGCUCCUCCUCCUCCUUGGCUCUGCGGCGCCGCGUGCGGGGACAAGGACCGGGCUCGUGGCACAAUGACAGCAAGCGGGCGUUGCUCGACCCGAAUACCAAGGUGGCGGGCGGAGCUCAACUAGCUGGCGCGUGGGACGGUGGGAGUCCCCAGCGUUCGUCCUACCUGUGCCCGGUGGUCAGCAAGCAACAUUGAUGGUCGACAACUCUAGUAGUGGUGCUUAGUGGAAUUUGCCACCAAAUGAAGAAGGAGAGAGUGCUAAAUGGAGAUUACUACCUUGGUGACAACCGGAUCCGUUCUUCGUUUCUUGGCAACCAUACAACAUUGAAGAUUGUUUCAUGGUAUGCUGCUUAAUAACCAGCAGUUCUUUCCCUUUUCUCCCAAAAUCUUGCACAAUCUAACAAUUUUCCCAUGCAUAUAAUGUCAGCUCAUAGUUCCAGUUGUUUCGGAAGGGAGAUGCAGUUGUUACUUUUGGGACUUUGAGUCACUGAAAAUACAUGUUCUAGAUCCUUUAAUGAUGAUGAGUUGUUACUUUUGGGACUUUGUGGACCACUAUUAACUUGUGAAACUUAAUUCAGGAACUACUCAGGGUUGUUUGCCACACACACACUAUGCUCGUGCUUUUGAUGGCUUUCAGCUACUAUGGGAACUAAAGACGGUUACCAACAAACUAAACAACAGUGAUUCUUUACUUUACUUUCUUUUUUGUGGGACACAUUAUCAACAUCUUUUUCUUGCUUCCGCAGGCUGAACAUGGACUGAACAUGCAGAGUUACUUUACCAACUUCUAAGUAAAGAAUGGCAGGGAAUUACGGAGACAUACCAGAAUUGUUGAUCGACCUGUAAAUUUGAGGAUGAUGCUUUUGUGUUGUGACCUCUAAACAACAGACCAUACACAAUCACUAUUUGGUUGUUUGUUUUUGGUGGAAUGCAAGUGACAUCGUUUAGGUUUGUUGUUGUGAGCACCAUUCAAGUUAGGUUUGGUUUGGUCUGUUUUAUUGAACAUCAUCUAUGUUUGAUCAAAUCUGUUUGAAUCAUUGACCUGUUGAUAC